ensembl:lincRNA Gm26944 predicted gene, 26944
UUUAUAAUUAAAGUUUUUAGUAUAAAGAUUAUAGAAGCAAAUAAAAACAUGAGCUAUCAUGUAAAACAGAAGAUAGUUUUGAAAGUAAUGGUCCAUGAUUAAGAAGCUAAGGAAAAGCACAGUGGUUUUGGCAAUGUGACUGAUACAGCAGUUCUAAAACAACCAAGAUAAAAAAUUGGACCACAUAGGAUUUCAAGUGUUGCUAUGUGGUCCUGGCUAUUCUGGAACUAUGUGGACCAGGCUGGUCUCAAAUUCUAAAGAUCCUCCUGCAUCUCAAGUGCUGUCAUUAAAAGAAAUCCUUUUAUAUUUGCUUACAAUAUUGUCUCAUGUACCCUAGGCUGGCAUCCAACUCUAUACGCGGGGCCUGGUCUUGAACCCUGAUCCACUGUGCCAGGGAUAAAGCAUAAGUGUUUAUGACUUAAAAGGACUUUAACACUGCCAAAGACAGGGAAUUGAAACACCUUUCUGUUACCUCAACUGCUCCAGCUGGUCCAGCAGGGUCUUAUUAUGUAGCCCAGCCAUCAAUCAUGUAGCCACGCUUGGCCUACUGGCAGUCUUCUGGCAGUAUUCCUUGUGCCUUAGCCUUCCACGUACUAAGAUUACAAGCCACCAAAUCAGGCAGUGACUGAGAGAUCUUAAUGCUAACUUCCUAUAAACUCUAAGAUACCAUUAACUUA